GUUAGCGGCGGACGGGUGAGUAACACGUGGAUAACCUACCUAUAAGACUGGGAUAACUUCGGGAAACCGGAGCUAAUACCGGAUAAUAUUUUGAACCGCAUGGUUCAAAAGUGAAAGACGGUCUUGCUGUCACUUAUAGAUGGAUCCGCGCUGCAUUAGCUAGUUGGUAAGGUAACGGCUUACCAAGGCAACGAUGCAUAGCCGACCUGAGAGGGUGAUCGGCCACACUGGAACUGAGACACGGUCCAGACUCCUACGGGAGGCAGCAGUAGGGAAUCUUCCGCAAUGGGCGAAAGCCUGACGGAGCAACGCCGCGUGAGUGAUGAAGGUCUUCGGAUCGUAAAACUCUGUUAUUAGGGAAGAACAUAUGUGUAAGUAACUGUGCACAUCUUGACGGUACCUAAUCAGAAAGCCACGGCUAACUACGUGCCAGCAGCCGCGGUAAUACGUAGGUGGCAAGCGUUAUCCGGAAUUAUUGGGCGUAAAGCGCGCGUAGGCGGUUUUUUAAGUCUGAUGUGAAAGCCCACGGCUCAACCGUGGAGGGUCAUUGGAAACUGGAAAACUUGAGUGCAGAAGAGGAAAGUGGAAUUCCAUGUGUAGCGGUGAAAUGCGCAGAGAUAUGGAGGAACACCAGUGGCGAAGGCGACUUUCUGGUCUGUAACUGACGCUGAUGUGCGAAAGCGUGGGGAUCAAACAGGAUUAGAUACCCUGGUAGUCCACGCCGUAAACGAUGAGUGCUAAGUGUUAGGGGGUUUCCGCCCCUUAGUGCUGCAGCUAACGCAUUAAGCACUCCGCCUGGGGAGUACGACCGCAAGGUUGAAACUCAAAGGAAUUGACGGGGACCCGCACAAGCGGUGGAGCAUGUGGUUUAAUUCGAAGCAACGCGAAGAACCUUACCAAAUCUUGACAUCCUUUGACAACUCUAGAGAUAGAGCCUUCCCCUUCGGGGGACAAAGUGACAGGUGGUGCAUGGUUGUCGUCAGCUCGUGUCGUGAGAUGUUGGGUUAAGUCCCGCAACGAGCGCAACCCUUAAGCUUAGUUGCCAUCAUUAAGUUGGGCACUCUAAGUUGACUGCCGGUGACAAACCGGAGGAAGGUGGGGAUGACGUCAAAUCAUCAUGCCCCUUAUGAUUUGGGCUACACACGUGCUACAAUGGACAAUACAAAGGGCAGCGAAACCGCGAGGUCAAG
rnacentral:rRNA from 1 species